ACCAACUUCCGGGUGUGGCAGCCGCCCUUCCCCCACCCUCGCCGGCGGGAACCGCCCGUCUUCUCCGCCAGCAGCUUCCGCCUGCCGCAGUCUCGGCACGCGUUCUGGGAUCCCGCCCCUUCCCGGGGAUAGUGACCGGGCGAGCGCGCGCCUCGCGGUACCGAAGACACCCGAGCACGCGCCAGGGCUUCGGCUCCAGACGCGGGUUGUGAUGGGUUGCGGGGGGGGGCGGGUACUGGCUAGGGUGGAUCGCUGCCACUACCUUCUCUCAGCCAGCUGAGGCCUCGGAACCCUUUCUUAGCCACGUUUGUAGACAAAGGAGCGCUGGAUUUUGUUCAAAGAACUUUCUUUGCUAACGUUAAGGAGCCCGAAUUGAGAUUGAAAGGAAGAGGAGCGAAGUCCAGGCUCGGGAAUGGGAUGUGGGAAAAGGAAAACUCCGUUUUCCUGGGUCUGCGUCGUCCGGAGGAAAAAGCUGUUGAUGAUAUCUAAUAGACUUUAUUCGGACCAAAGCUAUCUAUGGUCCUCCACCCAUUUUCUGGGUUUAUGGGAAAUGAAACAGAAGUGACAGCCACUACUAAUUAACAGCUAAGCUGGAAACUAAAAAUAAGAUCCAACGUAGUGGAGAGGCAUAGUCUACAAUGAGCCAAAUUACAAGGUUCCAACUUAGACGUUUUCCCUGAUGUAUUGGUUCUGAUAAGGCGGGGAAAAGUGGGUUAAAGUGUAUUCAGAAACUGAUUUUCUCUCCUUUCCAGGGAAGCAAACGUGUGACAAGUUCUUUACAAAAAUUGCAUUUUUUUUUUUAAAUGCUGGAGAAGACCCUUGAGAGUCCCUUGGACAGCAAGAUCAAACCGGUCAAUCCUAAAGGAAAUCAACCGUGAAUAUUAACUGGAAGGACUAUGCCGAAGCUCCAAUAUUUUGGCCACCUGAUGCGAAGAGCCUACUCAUUGGAAAAGACCUUGAUGCUAGGAAAGAUUAAGGGCAGGAGGGAAAGGGGGUGACAGAGGAUGAGAUAGUUGGAUGGCAUCACCAAUUCAAUGGACAUGAGUUUGAGAAACUCCAUGAGAUGGUGAAGGACAGGGAAGCCUGGCAUGCUGCAGUUCAUAGAGUUGCAAGUAGUCAGACACAGCUUAGCGACUGAAAACCAAUGGUGACCUCCAAGAGGGCUCACACCAAGGGCCACUUCCUAGGACUGCUGCUGCCCGUGCCCCUAUCCCUGCAGCGAGCCACUGCUGACCCACGCUGCCGCGAGAGUUCAUCGAACACUAGCUGGUAGGUCUGGUUCAGUCUCCUGUGGGGUCACUGCUCCUUUCCCCUCAGUCCUGGCACACGCAAGAUGUUGUUUGUGCCCUCCAAGUGUGAAGUCUCUAUUUCUCCCAGUCCUAUGGAAGUCCUGCAAUCAAAUCCUGUUGGCCUUCACAGUCAGGAUCCCUGGGGAUUCCUAGUCCCUUUGCUGGGUCCCCAGGCUAGGACGCUUAGAACCAUCACAAGAGUGGGAGAACUUCUUUGGUAUUAGUGUUCUCCAGUUUGUGGGUUGCCCAUUAGGCGGGUAUAGGAUUUAACUUUAUCGUGAUUGUGCCCUCCCCCCACCAUUUCGUUGUGGCCUCUCCUUUGUCUUUAAAUGUGGGAUAUCUUUUUUUGGGGGGUUCCAGCAUCCUCCUGUCCAUGGUUGUUCAAAAGCUAGUUGGUGCUCUCACAGGAGAUGGGCACAUGUCCUUGUACCCUGACAUCUUGAACCAGUCAACCCUGAAGACAAGACUAUAAGUGAGUGAUUAUAAACAGUGAUCGCAAAAAAAAAAAAAAAAAACAGUGAUCGCAGAAACUGAUACAUGAUGGAGUUUAAGAAGUAGCCAAAAAUGUCAAGAGUUGCAGAGAAGGGAAUAAGAACUGAGAAUAGAUGGUGUUCAUCUAAUGAUAUUUGUAGAAGCAGUUCAUGAAUAAAAACCUUGGGAUUCUUUCAUUUUAUGGGUCAAGUUUGUAACUGCAAAUUUUAAGGUAAAUAAUGGAUUCCUUUAUCUAUAGGUAAUAAAUUCAAGACGUGAUGCAAAUAUGUUUUUUUUCAAAUGAUAACUUUUUGAUUGUAUGAGUUUAAAAUCAUUUGAAGCAGACAGAAUUAGAAAGCCUUUCCUUAUGUAAAUCCAAUUGUUCAUUCUUGCUUGCAUGAAUAAAUAGUCAGUCAGUGAAUCUUUAUUGUGUAUCUACCAUAUACUUUGCUAGGUAUUUGGGACAAUGGCAGUAGGUAAGAAAGACACCAUCCCAGCCUUCAUAUUUAAAGCAAUAAUACCAAAGAAAGAAAAAAGCUGUACUUUGACACUUCUUGGUAAUAAGGGGAAAAAAGGGAAUCUAAAAUAAUACAGAUAUAAUAUAAUAUACCUGUUUGAAGAAUUUUUAUGGAGUGAUUAAAAUUACUGUGUAUGAAAUAGCAUUUUUCCUUUAAUAUUAAAGCAAAAUAUAGCAUUAGAAUUAUAUGAAAAUAUAUAUGUAAAUGGCUGAAUAGAAACACUGAAAACUAACAUAUUUGUGUUGAAAUAGAGAAAUUAUUGGUGAUUUUACUUUUGAUUUUUCUUUAAAGUUUUUUAAAAAUCUUUUUCUAGUUUUUAAAUGUCUUAUAUUAGUAAGUAGUGAGAAGUUUCUGUUAAUUUGUAAAUGUAUCCAUUCUUCACAUACACAACGGGGCUUGAAAAAGCAGUCCUUGGAUUUUAAAUCUUUUAUCUAGAAAGGCUCUUAAACUGGUGAUCCCCAUGUGAAAUCUAGCCCACCGAUAUUGUACCAAUUAUUUAUUCCCACAAUAAAAUGUUGCCUAGCAA